GUUGCCGCUCUCCAGAUUGGGACGGUGCUCUGCUCUGCUGCUGGGUUUGUGGUGCAUUUGCAGGUGGAGUGCGCCGAGGCGCUCGGGUUCAGCGGCAUGAGCCCAGUUUUGAGGCCAGCCUCGCAAGAGGUCUGGUACCCGGACUGUUUGGGGAGUGCUGUUUGGCCUGGGUGUACAAAAAGGGUAAUGGAAUCGGGCCCGGGUGGGUGUCGAGCUGGCAGUCGGUGGCGGUCGCAUGCGACACGCGCCAGCGGUCAGUUCGGUCCUGCUCGAGCUCACAUCUGCCCGUCCUCGGUGUAAAAGCCGGUCAUCUGUCCGACCCGUCUUGAAACACGGACCAAGGAGUUUAGCGUGUGCGCGAGUCAUUGGGCGUUGAAAACCCAAAGGCGCAAUGAAAGUGAAGGUCUCCCUUGCGGAGCUGAUGUGUGAUCCUGGGCGCUGCGGUGCCCGGGCGCAACAUAGUCCCGUCCCGACUGCAUGCAGUGGGGCGGAGACAGAGCGUACGCGCUGAGACCCGAAAGAUGGUGAACUAUUCCUGAGCAGGAUGAAGCCAGUGGAAACUCUGGUGGAAGUCCGAAGCGAUUCUGACGUGCAAAUCGAUCGUCUGAC
rnacentral:rRNA from 1 species